rnacentral:lncRNA from 1 species
GAGGUUGAUUGGCGUCUUCGCUCCACUGGUACUGUUACCAUAGACCUCACGAGGUAACCAACAGUCCAUCCACAGAAGUUGUGUUAAUCGGAAAAUACACAACAAAGGCGACCGUGGUGUAGUGGGGUCCCUGUGCUAAAACGUGAUUCAAUUUAUCCCCAGGCGGUGUUCAUUACACGCCAUGUAGAUGAUAGCUGACAAAGGCGACCAGGAACCGAACGGAGCACACAUCUGGUUUUGAGUUGUUCGCUUUGGACCAUGAGAUACAACAGUGGUUUCCCAUCGUUUGUGUCCUGUGCACCCUUUCAGGCCUUUGUUCCCUCACUUGUCUCGCCUUAACGACGACGCGCAAUUGUAUCCAGGAAGUGCAGAACGAACCGCCGUCGCCAUAG